rnacentral:lncRNA from 1 species
AACUUUGCACAAAUGUCAGAAGUGUGGGUAGGCACAAAUUAAGUGGCAGAGUCAAGAGAGGGGAUAGGGUAGUUUUGAUUUUCCUGUCUCAUCAUUAUCCGCUGUCUCUUGCUUCCCUGUUGCAGAUGUGGCACCUUAUAGCAUCCUGGUGCAGCCCUGAAGCUCCUGUCCUUGACCCCCACAUAGUAGGCAUUGACUUGCCAACCAGCUGUACCGAACACGGACGCAGCACCCGCAUCAGGAGAGAGCCCUUCAGCAGGUGAAUGAUAUGAAGUUGUCAUUCGUGCGAUAGAUCAGACAACGGAGAAAGCCUCCAGACAUAACCUCUGCUUGCUUCCGGCGAGGACGAAUAAAUCUUUCCUUCUUUUGGAAUCA